ensembl:snoRNA U3 Small nucleolar RNA U3
AAAGCUAUACUUUCAGGGAGCAUUUCUACAGGCUCUUACUAUAGAAGUUUCUAUGAAUGUGCAGAGCACCAGAAACCAUGAGGAGGUGGCUCCUGAGCUUAAAGCCAACUCUUGGUUUUGCUUUGCUGCAACUGCUAUUUGCCAUUGCCUCUUCCUCAGGAAAAGUAGGAGGGAGAAGAUUCAGCAGACUGAGUGA